rnacentral:sRNA from 1 species
ACGAGAAAGUUAUCAACGAAAUUAGUC